CUUAUAAAGUAACUGUCAGAGUUAUCUCCCUGCAGUGUAAUGUAUCACCUUAUAAAGUAACUGUCAGAGUUAUCUCCCUGCAGUGUAAUGUAUCACCUUAUAAAGUAACUGUGAGAGUUAUCUCCCUGCAGUGUAAUGUAUCACCUUAUAAAGUAACUGUAACAGUUAUAAGUUGUAUAUCUAAAUAUCUUUUAAUCCCAACCCAAACAAAACCCAACACUCAAAACAACAUUUUUCCAAAAAACAAAAACAAUAUAAUUCUACAAAAUCAUUAGAGAACAAAGACAAGUUAUUGAAAAUAAAUAAAAUUAUAAGUUAGAAAUAUUUUUGAUUAUUGAAAAGGAAAAAAAUUCCAAGGCAAAACUAAUAUUUGAUAUAUAAGAAAUGAAAGUGUGUAUACAUAGACCCUUUUUUAUAAAGCUAAAAAUUAUUUAAGCAAAAAAAUAUAAUUGUCAAAGAAAGAUAUGUAUUGCCAUUCAUCUCAAAAGUAUUCUAUGUUUUGGUAUAUGAACAGGAGCACAUAUUCUUGCCCUGCAAAAAAAAAUCAAUGUAAGUUACCUUGCAUUCUUUCAAUCUGUAUUGAAGGAGAUGCAUAUAAACAAUAGACUUUUUUUAUAUUACCAACUUUUGACUCCAGAUUACAUAAAUUUUCAACAGGUUACCUUUUCUGUGGUUGUAUAUCCGGGUACUCAGCCAAGUAUGAGCAACCAAAAUAAGUAAAAUCAGACAUAUAAUUGGUGUGAAUACUGUUUCCCGAUGAUUUUGUUGUGUUAACUUGUGUAAAGUAAAUGUUAAGCAGUUAAUUUUUCCUCGAAAUAGUACCGAUUGAAAGAUUGGUUUUACUUCUUUAGUUUGCUCUUACCUGACUAAGUACAAGGAUGUCCAACAUGAGAAAAGGUAACCAGUUGAAAAAUUAUAAUCAAGAGUCAAAAGUCGUUAAUAUAAAAAUAGUCUAUUUGAUAUAAACAGAAAUGGCAUAAUUCAGGUAUGAGAAAACAAUAUCUGGGAUAAAAAAAAAUAUUGAAAGAAGAGGUCACAACAUCAUAGAUAAAACAGUGUAAGAUUUGUUUAAUUCUGUCCAGUAUUUACACUGGAAUUAUGGAUUGACAGUCUAAGAUUGGUUUAAUUCUGUCAAGUAAUUAACCUGAAAUUUUGGAUUUACAAAAGCGUGAAAUCAUCAAUGACGAAAACAAGCCUUCAAGAGAACAGAAGUGAUCGUAAACACUGUUUCUAUUGGAUGCUGUCAAGCUACAUACAAAUUAGUAAAUUUAUUUACACACAUAUUUUAAAAAGCAUUAAAUUUAAAUUUUGUUAGUAAAAUCUCUCUGUUUUCUAUUCUCAGAAUGUGUUAGUUAACUGUAUACUAUAGACAUAUAUAAUAUUUUACUCUGUAACAUAACAUAUACAAUUCAAAAAUCAAACUUUGAAAUAUAACAUAUACAACUUUAUUAUACUUGG
rnacentral:lncRNA from 1 species